rnacentral:rRNA from 1 species
CGCUAUCACUCCUACGGGAGGCAGCAGUGGGGAAUCUUGGACAAUGGGCGCAAGCCUGAUCCAGCCAUGCCGCGUGAGCGAUGAAGGCCUUAGGGUCGUAAAACUCUUUCGCCAGGGAUGAUAAUGACAGUACCUGGUAAAGAAAACCCCGGCUAACUCCGUGCCAGCAGCCGCGGUAAUACGGAGGGGGUUAGCGUUGUUCGGAAUUACUGGGCGUAAAGCGCGCGUAGGCGGACUAGUUAGUCAGAGGUGAAAUCCCCGGGGCUCAACCCCCGGAACUGCCUUUGAUACUGCUAGUCUUGAGUUCGAGAGAGGUGAGUGGAAUUCCGAGUGUAGAGGUGAAAUUCGUAGAUAUUCGGAGGAACACCAGUGGCGAAGGCGGCUCACUGGCUCGAUACUGACGCUGAGGUGCGAAAGUGUGGGGAGCAAACAGGAUUAGAUACCCUGGUAG